AAACCAACAGGGAUUACCUCAGUAACGGCGAGUGAAGCGGUAACAGCUCAAAUUUGAAAGCUAGCUCUUCUAGGGUUCGCAUUGUAAUUUGUAGAAGAUGCUUCGGGUGUGGCCCCGGUCUAAGUUCCUUGGAACAGGACGUCAUAGAGGGUGAGAAUCCCGUAUGUGACUGGGUGCUUUCGCUCAUGUGAAGCUCUUUCGACGAGUCGAGUUGUUUGGGAAUGCAGCUCAAAAUGGGUGGUAAAUUUCAUCUAAAGCUAAAUAUUGGCCAGAGACCGAUAGCGCACAAGUAGAGUGAUCGAAAGAUGAAAAGCACUUUGGAAAGAGAGUUAAACAGUACGUGAAAUUGUUGAAAGGGAAGCGCUUGCAACCAGACUUGCGCGCUGAUGAUCAUCCGGGCUUCUGCCCGGUGCACUCGUCUGCGCUCAGGCCAGCAUCGGUUUCGGUGGUGGGAUAAAGGCCUUGGGAAUGUAGCUUCUUUCGGGGAGUGUUAUAGCCCUCGGUGCAAUGCCGCCUACCGGGACCGAGGACCGCGCUUCGGCUAGGAUGCUGGCGUAAUGGUUGUAAGCGAC
rnacentral:rRNA from 1 species